GCAGGUGUAGUUUAGUGGUAAAACAACAGCUUGCCAUGCUGUAGUUGAGGGUUCGAUUCCCUUCACCUGCU
rfam:Biomphalaria glabrata isolate BB02 unplaced genomic scaffold LGTN_random_Scaffold191, whole genome shotgun sequence.